UGAUAGCGUAGAAACGCGAGGUUGCUGCAUGAAAAUGCAGGUUUUCCGUGGAGCGAAUGUCAAGUUAAGAAACUGGCGACAA
rfam:Roseburia inulinivorans CAG:15 genomic scaffold, scf60